UACGUAGGGGGCUAGCGUUGUCCGGAAUCAUUGGGCGUAAAGAGCGUGUAGGCGGCCCGGUAAGUCCGCUGUGAAAGUCGGGGGCUCAACCCUCGAAUGCCGGUGGAUACUGUCGGGCUAGAGUGCGGAAGAGGCGAGUGGAAUUCCUGGUGUAGCGGUGAAAUGCGCAGAUAUUAGGAGGAACACCGGUGGCGAAGGCGCCACUCUGGGCCGAAACUGACGCUGAGGAGCGAAAGCGUGGGUAGCAAACAGG
rnacentral:rRNA from 1 species